rnacentral:lncRNA from 1 species
AACAAUUUGGUAAUGAAGUAUUGAUUUCCACUUCUCCGCUGAUGGACGAUAUUAGAUUUUCAUUGAUAAACUGCAUCGGGCUGUCUCGUCUCCACGGUCCCCUUUUCACGGUCACAAGGAAACAAAGUGCCACUGAAGAAAAAUAAUGACUGGGAACACUGAUGCGCUUAUUUUGUCAGUUUGUAACAGGAAAGGGAGGGGUAGUCCUCGCCGUCCAACGUCCGAGGGGGCCGCCCGAGAUGCGGACACUUGGAAGGCUGCUUUGGGUGGUGAUGUCCGUUUCCUAUUUAUAACCCCUCUGGGAACGUUUGUCUAAAGGAAAUGUUUCUGUUCAGUGUAACAAUUACGGUUGCACCUGGAUUGCCCAGGCCUGCCCCUGCGCUAGGGAGCCAUUAAUCACUGCAAAGGAGAAGAAUUAUUAAGUUAAGGCCAGAGCUGGAGCCAAGAAAGCCUCCGAACGAUGUUCGUCUUCUGUGAAAGUUGUGCAAAUAGUUAGCCUUAGCCGUGCUGCUGCCAAGGACUUUUUCCCAUGCAGCGGUAGGCAUCUUUAUCAUGGUCAUUAUCUGGACUGCUUUAAAACCUAGUUCUGAGCCCGCAGCCCUGUCACUUGAGACCUGCAGAUUGGGAGAAGGGGCGAGAUGUAGAAUCUGAGAAAAGCAAGAAGAUGAGAUCAUGGCAGGGUGGAAAGUUCAGCAGCGGCCUUUUCUGGUAAUCCCUUCUUGCAGGACUGGUUGUUUAUGGGCUCUGGAACACAGCUGAGCUUUAGGACCAACAGAAAGCGUGAAAUAGGGUGUCCAUUUUAAAUGUGUUCCUGCAACUUUUUUCAUUAAAACUUUAAGGGCCCAAUUUUAAUUUGUGGAAUAUUCCCGUUAAUAAUGAGAUCUAAUUAAGACAUCCAUUAAAAGCCCGUUAAAGUUAAUUUAACGUAAAAAUUCCAAUAGAACUGUAUUAGAUUUUCUCCAUUAAAUUAACGUUAUGGAUUUUUAACGGAUGUCUUAAUUAUACGUUAUUAUUAACGGGAAUACUGUAUUACACAGAUUAAAAUCAGGUCCUAAGUCAACUUGGAAAGCUAGGAGCAUGUUUUAAUAUUAAAAGUCUUGCAUACCUAGCGUGCAGUUUGGAAGGGGUAGAUCUGUUUAUUCUAUACAAUGGAAAGCAACCUAUAAUAGAUGUAUCCAUCAAUGCAUUUAAACAAUGAAUUUUCUUAUUCUCAAAGGACAAAUAAAUAUGGAUCAUGUUGUAAACUGCUACUCAGCUAUAGGUGAAAUAUUAAGCUACUCUAGGCAUAACACAAGAAACUAGAUGAUUCUGAAACAAAUGAAAUAUUAUGUGUUGUUGUUUUAAUUACCAAGUUUAUCAACAACAGCAGCAACUCAACACUGACAAAAUGAAGCCAGAUAUAGCCUCUUCACCAUUUCUCAUAGAAGCUGCCUAUUGGAAUUGUUUUGGAAAUUUUGCCAUGAUCCCUAAAUUCAACAUGGGAUUAAAAAAAGGGGGGGAAAAAAACUUCUUAUUUACCUCCUAGGGAAAGUGUUGCCCUUAUGCCACAUAUAAUAGCAAAUUGCUUUUUUUAUGGCAUGCAUAACCUAGAUGGGAAAAAUAUGGCGCUUCAGGGAAGGAGGGAAAAAGUAAAUGAAGUUCCAGGAAUGUCAUUCUGAAGUAAUGAGGCAUGGACAGAAAAUAUACCCCUCACAUCAUCGGAUUGAGAUGGCAGUCGAAAUAGCUUCAUUGAAGUGUCAGCACUCAUCCAUCAAUCAAUCACCCACAAGGAAAAAUAGCAACAGUACAACGGGGCGGCUUUUAUGGGAUUUACUCAUGGGCAUAGGGAAUAGCGGCUCAAAUGUAGUUCUGACAUGAAAAGCAAGGUGCUGAUAUUAUUUUUUAUGAUGGGAGGAUCAUAAAGUGAAUUGAGAACAGCGAGGUCUGUCUUUGCUUAACCUAUUCAACCAGAAAUGAAUGGAACUCAACUGGAAAGGAACAGUCUUCAGAUGGGUUAAGAUUGAAGGGUGGACUCUGCCGAGCACUGUCCUUCAACAACGAGAUUCUAUUAAAGGAAAAUCAAUGCAUUAGCAUUGGUGUUCCUGAAGCUGUUAAAAAUCGCCUGCUUCAACCCAGGGUUGUUAGAUAAAGUUACAUAAUUCAGAUCCUACUGCAACCAUCCAGAAGCAAAUUCGGA